UGUCACAUCCAGGACAAACAAGAGAAGUCCUUUUAACCAAAUAGGACUCCUAUAUAACAAGAGUCUUUGAGAAGAGAGUCGUAUGACCUAAGAUGUCCCCUCCAACUACUUUGGAAAAGACAGUUUCCAGAAGGUUCUGAAAUGCGUGGUUUCAGCAUCCACUGGGGAGCUUGGAAUGUACCUACAGCAGAGAGACAUCUAUCUGCACAUGUGCACAAGGUGAAGAUUGAAUGCAGCAUUGUCUGUCUUAGCAAAAGCUAAACACAACCCAAAUAUCCAGGGAUAGGAAAAUAACUCAAUAAACGUCGGCUUAUCCUUAUUAUGGAAUCCCACACAGCAGUUGCAGAUCUUCAUGUGUUGACGUGGAAAUGUCUCCAAGGCAUACUGCCAAGUGAAUGGACAGCAUGUUAACGUCUGUGCGCCACUCGGCCUCACAAAUAAAAACGAUUCAGCAUAUCUAUCUGUCUAUAUCUCACUUAGGUAUCUGAAAAUAUACGUACGUACAUUUCAAAAAAGGGUACGCAUUAACCAAUAAUAGUGGCUGUCUCUAUGAUGGCUAUAACAACUCGAUUGAAGCUGGUUAAUGAGGACUUUAGUCUUACCGGUUUUAAGGAAGUUUUCAACAAGAACAUGUUUGUUUACAAUAUGCGUAAUUUUAAAGUGUUUUAAAAAAUAACUGUGAAGAUUUCACUACACUAAUACUUACCAAGGCAUUAUUCGGUAGAGUGAAAAUUUGGAAAUAGCAUAAUUGUCCAACUACAAGGUAUUUAGUUAAAUAUAUUAGGGGAGAUCUCAUGAUACAUUACAACACAACCAUCAAAAUAAUAUUUAGAAGUCCAGUAAACAACCAAGAGGAAAUGUUCAGAAUAAUGAUCAAAAGAAAAAAGCAGAUUACGAAACAGAGUGCACCUCAUUAAACACCUGUCAACCCCAGGGUCCAGGGCAGAGAAGUCAGAUUCCAAAAUCAGAGCAUGCUGGCCCAAAGGCUAAAGGUUCGGUAAUGCCAAAGUCAGCAAUGCUGGUGCAGACACAACAGAAAACUGAGGGCCAAAGAAAUUGAGAAGAAAGCCAGGCCAGACGGCUGGAUCAAGGAUGGAGGCAAAGUGCUAAGGGUGCUGCCUUAGACAAAUCCUGUCUGCACCUCUCCUCCUUCCACACCCUUCUGGAGUAGGCCCAGCUGUGCCCAGGGUCUGAACCCAGGCACUGAUUGUCCCGAGUCUGGAGGAGGUCUGGGCCUCGCCCUCUAACUGCUUCAGCAGGGACUGGGUCAGGCCAAGGACAAUGGCCUCCACCUGCUGGGAGAUCUUUCCAGACCAGAGAGCGGAACCUGCAGAAUGCAGAGGCCUUCUGGUUUGCUGGACAGUGGUGUACAUUCCAGGCUCAACUCUUCAUUCCUCUAGGGAGUGAAAAAACCCGCUCCACCUCCUGAGAGCAAGGCUAGGUUGUGAAUACCCUUUCCUUUGACGUAUUGAGAAACGGGUCCACAUUCAUUCAGUCACGAGAAAUGUCACUCAAAAUGGGAGUUUCCUCCUUGAGAAUCAAGAAUGAAUGUUAGAAAAUUAAGUGGCAGAAUUAGUCAAAGAGCAACCCCUUAGUGGAAUAGAUUUGACAUUACAGAAAAGGAACAGAGAGAAAGGAGAGAGAACAGAAAAAGGGGGUGGGUGGAUAAACGGUGGGGAGAGAAAGAGAGCUUGAUUUCUGCGUUUAUAAAUGACAAUGCGGUUUUGUCUAACCACCUGCUGCAGCAGGGCUGGGACACAAGGGAACCUGUGCCCUCCCAUGCGGUGGAGGGUAGAAGAUCAGAAAGACGAGAGGCCGGGGAGAGGCCGAGAUUUGUACAUCCAGCUGAAAAAUAAUCAGGCUCCUAAGCACAAGGCAGUUAUGGUUUUAAAAAAUUAAAAUAAGCAACGAAACCAACCACCCAACACAUUCAAAUCCCUGCAUGAGUUUGAGGAUCGAGAAGUGGAAGAAUUGAACAGGGAGAAACAACGAAGACGCGCUUCUGCUGCAGGAGGCAAAUGCCAAGUGUCAGAAAUGAUUCCUGAAGCUGGGAGCCUCUGAGUUCAACUCAUUAUUUCCAUUUGUUCAUUUGUUUUUUCUACUGUGUUUCAAUACCUUUUCCUCCUCUGGCUUUUCUACCUGCAUGAAGUACUUACUGGUGGUGAAGGGGAGACACAACUCCCAGCCCGUUGUUUGUUUUACAAGUGGACUCUUGCAUGGAGAGGAAGCUCAGGAAUGGGGUGGCUGGGCAGGAGGGCUGCUGUGUUCCAGGUUCCAGCAGACUUGCAGACCUGCCCAGGGCAAGAGGAAGAACUGGUGAAACCUGCACGCCUGCUUUGAAGAUCUCAAGAACAAUUUGCUUUGCUCCUGUGGCUAAGCCUGCAAACAUAUUAAAAGCUUUUCUGGGUGAUUUGUCAGUGGAUUUAGUUAAAGAAUUUAUAGCCUGACCCUGGGAAUCGGUCUGUGCUUCAGAGCAACACUGACACCACGUGUUUGAAUCUUUAGGACUAAAAGGAAAGUAAGAUCACGAAUGGAGGAGCAAGGAGAGAUCCCAAACAUAGCAGCUCUCAUUAUGAGGGUGCACUCAUUUCACCCACUGAGGCUCUGAAAGGGUCAGCGCUGAUGAGCUGGUCUGGCCUCUGCCUGCUCUACCCAAAAGUGAAUGUGGGUGUCUGUAAUUCUUGGAGUUCUUUGAGGUAGAAAAGAUUAUUCAGGGACUAUUUUGAUUUUAAAAAUUAAUAUUCAACUUAUUGAAGCUAGUUCUUAAGUUUUUAAAGUUCAGCUUCUAAAUCUUAUCACUUUAUUUAUUAGGAAAGUGCAUGCUCAACAUGCACUUAGUUUAGUAUUUGGGAAAGUCUGCCAAUCAGAAACGAAAAUAUUCAAAAAGAAACCUGAGUAUAAAAAAUGGAAAAAGUAUACUUACAAUAUUUAUGGGGGCUAAUUAAAUAUGCUAUGGGAUCCCCUCAAAUAUUGACAUUUCCUUUACAAAUUUAUUAUAUUCAGAUUUUUUCAAGGGUAUCUGACUGAGAAGCUUCCCCAAAUACUUAGAUAACUUUAAAAAAUCAUAUAAAAUAAACGUAAAAAUAAAGCAGCGUAUUAAGUUGCUGAAAUGACCACAUAUUGUUUUCAAAUUUUAAAAACUUAUCCUUUCAAUUUAAUAUCAUAAAUGUAAAUAACUAAAAAACAUGUAACAUUAGAAUCAUAAGACUCAUAAGACUCCCAGAGCACUUUGGGAGGCUGAGGUGGGCGGAUCACCUGAGGUCAGAAGUUCAGGAUCAGCCUGGCCAACAUGGUGAAACCCCGUCUCUACUAAACAUACAAAAAUUAGCCAGGCGUGGUGGCGUGUGCCUGUAAUCCCAGCUACUUGGGAGCCUGAGACAGGAGAACUGCUUAAACCUGGGAGGCGGAGGUUGCAAUGAGCCGAGAUCGCACCGCUGCCCUCCAGUCUGGGCAACAGAGCAAGGAUCCGUCUCAUAAACAAACAAACAAACAAUUAAACAAAAGCAGUGCACUCCAUUAGGCAAUAAGUGGUCUAUCCAACAUUGAGAGGAGGUGCUGCCCUCCCUCUGCCUUAAUUCUAAGUUUUGACUAAUUUUCCUAAAAUUGUUAUCAAAAACAUUGGUGAUGCAGCAUUUUUAAAAUAAUGCAUUGAGAAACCAAAACUUCUGGUUCCGGCUCUUAAACUGGCAGAACAAUGAUGGAAAAUCAGCCAACUUUUGUCUCCCCCUUCAGAAAUGUUGCUGAGCACAUCUGGUUCAUCCUUUCCCUGGCCUCCUCCUCACAGCCGUUUGGUUCCUACGGCCUAAAAGUGUGUUGUGUAAUUACUGCUAGGACUUUCUAUCUAGUCACCGUAAGUUUUGCUGCUGGCACUUUUACUUGGAUUUUUAAUUUGGAUUUGCAUUUCUUUUACUUGCUUGUGUACCAGUGCCAAUUAAAUUAUAAUACAAUGGUUUCUUAUUACUUAGAAUUUUUAUUUUAACUUUGCUUAAAGUCUCUUUUGGACUUAAUUAGAUUCUUAAUUAUAUAAUCAUUUUUAUAAUCAUGUUAGCAUUUCUGGGCAGUCAAGCUGUUUCAUGACAGUUAGUUGACAAAUAUUGAUUGUAGGGGGCUGCUGAUUUUAAGAUGUCCUCAAUUUCAUAGACGGCAAAUUGUGGGUUGGUGGGGAACAUGUCUCAGAUUUGAUGAAACAUGGGACAUCACAGAAUAUCUGAAAGACUAAAUUGAGAGUCUAGCAUACAGAACACUCAUAGCGUCUAUUUUUUGGUUCUUCAUAAAUGUUAAUUCCCCUUUCCUUCUCCCAAUACUCAACUUUAGGUGACUUGACUAACGUACAUCUUCCUCCUGCAAAAAGCAAUGCAGAGUAUUGGGGAAUAGUCAACAAUUGUAAAGGUUCCCCAACUGCCAGUUUCUACAGACCCUGGUUCUUCCCUUAUUCUUACCUGUGUGGGUGUCUAUCUGACACGGCUGGAGGAGGGUCUGAGGUCUACCUGCUGCCAUGAAGUCAUGAACAUGUGAAUCAGAAUGCUAUUAGGUUUAGGUAUAAUAUUGCUUCUACUGACGCCCUAACCUACAGAGUAACGCUUGACACAAUCUCAUUUUUUGGGGGAUGUAUUUCUUUUUAAAGAAAUGUGUAUAAAUGUAUGGUGUACAAGUGCCAUUUUGUUACAUGCAUAGAUUGCCUAGUGGCCAAGACAGGGCUUUAGGGUACCCAUCACCCAAAUAAUGUACAUUGCAUCCAUUAGGCAAUUUCUUGUUAUCUACCCUUCUCAUGCCCCCUCACACUUCUGAG
rnacentral:lncRNA from 1 species